rnacentral:misc_RNA from 1 species
AAGUCGUAACAAGGUUUCCGUAGGUGAACCUGCGGAAGGAUCAUUAUCACGUAUCCACGUAUAAACCAUUGUGAACCGUACUCCAACCUCUGGUUUUUUUCAUCGACUCUGGGGCUGCAGAAGUAAAAAAAAAAAAGGCUUUUGCUUUUUUUCUUUUUUUCAUUUGCAACUCUGGGGACGGAGAAGAGAUCAGAGCGUAUUAACCUCCAUAUUAACCAUUUUAACCAAAUCUUUAUAACUUUUAUGAACUAAUCUUUAUUUUAUACUCUUCGGAGAUAAAAUUCAUUACGAAACAAAGAACAACUCUUAGCAACGGAUAUCUUGGUUCUCGUAACGAAGAAGAACGCAGC